rnacentral:sRNA from 5 species
UGUAUCUGAAGCCUGACGAGGAUGAGAACCUCCGGGGGCAAGAGGUUCGACCCGAGCGAAGCGAGAGAACGUUGCGUCAGCAACGGCCCGCAGGGCGAGCCACGCAGUGGCGAGUCAUCCUCUA